rnacentral:lncRNA from 1 species
CGUCGGCGCCCAUGGGUACUCUCCCUUUUCGAAACGUUUUGAAAGACAAUGCAACCAUCCCAAUGGAAUAUUAUUGAAGCCCUGGUUGAAAAAGCCCCUAAAGAUUUAUGUUAUACAACGUUUGACAUGUUUGAACGAACUUAAAUAUAUAUUUUCUGCUCAUUCCUGACGACAAGUGAGACGCAGACGGUACAUUUUCACUAGCCUUCGGAGCGCGCUAACGCUAUUGGGACAUAAAUUAUUAACUUUUUUGAACAAAACUACAUUUGUUAUGGACCUGGGAUUCCUAGAAGUGCCUUCUGAUAAAGAUAAUCAAAGGACCAUGCCCCAGGACUACCUGGCCUGAUGACUCCUUGCUGUCCCCAGUUCACCUGGCCGUGCUGCUGCUCCAGUUCCAACUGUUCUGCCUGCGGCUAUGGAACCCUGACCUGUUCACCGGACGUUCUACCUGUCCCAGACCUGUUGUCCCAGACCUGCUGGAACCCUGACCUGUUCACCGGACGUGCUACCUGUCCCAGACCUGCUGUUUUCAACUCUCUAGAGACAGCAGGAGCGGUAGAGAUACUCUCAAAGAUCGGCUAUGAAAAAGCCAACUGACACUUACUAUUGUGUUACUGACUUGUUACACCCUCGACAACUACUAUGGUUAUUAUUAUUUGACCAUGCUGGUCAUUUAUGAACAUUUGAACAUCUUGGCCAUGUGCUGUUAUAAUCUACACCCGGCACAGCCAGAAGAGGACUGGCCACCCCUCAUAGCCUGGUUCCUCUCUAGGUUUCUUCCUAGGUUUUGGCCUUUCUAGAGAGUUUUUCCUAGCCACCGUGCUUCUACACCUGCAUUGCUUGCUGUUUGGGGUUUUAGGCUGGGUUUCUGUACAGCACUUUGAGAUAUCAGCUGAUGUAUGAAGGGCUAUAUAUAUAAAUACAUUUGAUUUGAUUUUAUUUGAUAUGAGCAGAUUAACUUGGUCAAAACAAUCAAAAUAUUUAUUUAUUAAAGACUAUCAGAAAGAAUGUUGGUACUUAUUUAUUUUGAUCCAAAACCCAUGAAUGAGUGAAUAAUCCAAUAAUAAUUGGUAUGACACGGCUCUUGGAACUCAUUAAGUGGCGGCUUCUAAAUGAAAGUACUUGCAGAUCAAUAAAAUGUCCCUGUACUGUAGAUCUAACUGAAUUAGAGGAUUGGAGGAUUCUAAAUUAAUAUCUAAGGGGCAUUUUUUGUUAGGGCAAAUCAGUUCUGUGAGAAUAUCUAAGGGGCUUUAUAUAAUUAUAAUGCAGGUUUAAUAAUAAUAAUAAUAAUAAUAAUAAUAAUAAUAAUAAUAAUCGUUGGCUCUCCUGACAUAUGCCUAGUUUCCUGAAACAGGUCACAAAUAGUCACCGCUAGCCGGCCUUCACCCUGUACCCCCUGAACUUAGUCACUGUUACUAGCGGCUACCACCCGGUACUAUACCCUGCA